rfam:Felis catus isolate Cinnamon breed Abyssinian chromosome B4, whole genome shotgun sequence.
GCCUGGGUGGCUCAGUCAGUUAAGCGUCUGACUUCGGCUCAGGUCAUGAUCUCGCUGUCCGUGGGUUCGAGCCCCGCGUCGGGCU